rnacentral:tRNA from 1 species
GGAGGAAUGGCAGAGCGGUUGAAUGCACUGGUCUUGAAAACCAGCGUACCUGAAAGGGUACCGGGGGUUCGAAUCCCUCUUCCUCCGCAA